UUUUUCUUUUAUUUUCUUUUUUUUCUUUCUUUUUCUGUGUGUGUUGUUGUUGAGUGCGAGAA
rnacentral:ribozyme from 16 species